rnacentral:sRNA from 1 species
AGCAAUAAAAAGGCUUAUAUGGCGGCCGGCUAAUCUCCCGGAAGGGAGGUGAUGCCUGUGGAGAUUUACCAAGCAUUGACGCUAAUGAUUUCGUUCGCGACUCUGGUUGUGUUGAUUCUAUCUUUCCACAAAAAGAAAUAGGCCGCCCCAGUCAAAGGAUGCGGUCCUAUUUCAAUGGAUAACCUAUUUAAAGCCACCGCCCUUAAAAGCGGCUAUUGCUCCGAGAGUCGUGUGUCCAGCACGGCUC